GGAGAGGUGAGGACGUGCUGCCUUUAACAUGUUUCUUAGUCUGAUUUAAUCACGAAAUACAGGCAGAUCCCAGUCUCUCCUCCUCCAGUGGUUCAAACUGGAGUAUUGUUGUUGCUGAUAAAAUGGUUAUCCUGUUUCGAUCAGAGUUAUCAAACCAUCCUGCUGCUUCUGGUCAUCUCACGCCAGGUCAAAGAUUGAAAAGACAGACAGCUAUGGUACCAGAGAAAAUAAAUACACAAAUCAGACAAUUUAACCAGA